UCAAGUAAACAUCAUUUAAUAUUGUGAUACUCUUUAAUUAGAACACAAUCUUCGUUAGCCAAUAAUUAGGCAUUAGAUUCACGUGAACAAAUUCCAAUAGCUAUUAACUACUACGAAGAGUCUUCCAAAGUCAACAUUUUGCGACCGAGGUCAAUGCUCUCUUCAUUAGCAGAGCAUGAUUCGGAAAAACAACACUUACAAACGCCAUUAAUACAUAGGCGAAUUCCAAUUCUGCAUCUAAAAGGACAAUCAUUUACUAAAGAACAGUGCUCUCCCUCUCCCAUUACAGCAUCUGUGGAUUACAAAACUUAUUAGCACAAGCAUAAUUUCAAGAGAAAACAUAAUUCAUGAGAUAUUAAAAGUAUUUGUAUGAUUGAGGUAGACCUAUAUUCAUAACACAUGCAAUUAAUUGUUUAUACAUUCUAAAAAGAAUAUUAUUAUUAUUUUAUGGUCUGAUUGAAAAUAAAAUAGUGAGUUCGAGCGCACAUGCCAUUGGCAACCCAAAGCUUAUGCAAAGCCAAAAGUACUAAUUCUUUUUUUCUUCUUUUAAAGUGCUUAUUUUAAAGAAUUGAGAUGUUUCGUCGAUCUUUUAGGGAAAACAAUUAAGUGCUUUUGAGUAAUACUUUUCAUAAAUUGGAAAUAUCAGGUGUCAUUAAAACAAUGUUUGGAACCUUGGCAAAUACAAAUUAUUGCUCUAAUAUUGGCAAAAAUAUUUUAAAUUGAUUAACCAACAAUAAAUUACUAUUGACCAAAAAUAUUUUUAUUAAAAAUACUUUUAACAAUAUCCACCAUCAAAUUAAGAAAAUUUUGAAAAUUUAGCCAUAGAGGCUAUUGAGUAAGAGAGACCUAGGAGGGAGAGAGAGACUAACCACAUGAAAAGAUCAAUAAGGUGGCUAGGAAAAGCAAAGUCAUCGAAGCCUUAUCCAUGGUGUACAAAGGAAA
rnacentral:lncRNA from 1 species